rnacentral:rRNA from 1 species
UACGUAGGGCGCAAGCGUUGUCCGGAAUUAUUGGGCGUAAAGAGCUCGUAGGCGGUCUGUCACGUCUGCCGUGAAAACCCGAGGCUUAACCUCGUGGCUUGCGGUGGAUACGGGCAGACUAGAGGUAGGUAGGGGAGAACGGAAUUCCCGGUGUAGCGGUGAAAUGCGCAGAUAUCGGGAGGAACACCGGUGGCGAAGGCGGUUCUCUGGGCCUUACCUGACGCUGAGGCGCGAAAGCGUGGGGAGCAAACCGG